rnacentral:misc_RNA from 1 species
UUUCCGUAGGUGAACCUGCGGAAGGAUCAUUAAUGAGUUGUCAUGGGGUUCGAUGCUGGCAGCCAGUUUUUGGAUGCAUGUGCUUGCCCUAACAAUCAUCUUCUUCCAAACACCUGUGCACAUUUUUGAGGGGGUCUUGAGUUGGUUGCCGCUCUUGGGUGAUUUUCUCACAUUCCCUUAAAUCAUUAUACGCUAUUAACAAUGUUGAACGUGCUCUGUGCCGCAAGGCCAUUAAUAUAAUACAACUUUUAACAACGGAUCUCUUGGCUCUCACAUCGAUGAAGAACGCAGC